GGCACCAAUUCUUCAACACAAAAUGAAACCAUACUGACGAUGAAGAAGCUGACAAACUAUAUAGAUUAUAUUCAAGGAUCAGAAAUUAAGAAGCAUCCAACGUCAGUGUCUUUUUAAUUUUAAAUACAUAUGUAAUUUCCCAACACGGAAGAAAAUUACAUUUAAUAAAGGCAAGUGAUUUCUGGAAAUUAUGAGUUCUAACUUCUAAGAUUACCGAAAAAUGAGGUAUAUAUAACAUAGGUCUCGGUUGCAAUGUGACAUUUGGGGCUGAGAAUGACGCAUAAUCAUCGGUGCAAUAAGAAGCUACAAAUAAUGAGCGGUUUCUUGUAAGACUUCUUAGCUAAGGGGGCACAUUGUCGAAUCAAUUUCACAUCAAAAUGAGAUGUCCAAUAGUGCAAAGGUACGAGACAAUAUAGGUCUUAUAAAAUUUGAUUGAUAUUACUCAUAACAAGGUGCAUAUUUCUUUCAGGGGCCCAACUCACAAAAACUUCAAGGUUUAGUAUGCUGGCCUAGAAGGAUUGGUGACCUUCUAGGAUGUUUUC
rnacentral:lncRNA from 1 species